rnacentral:rRNA from 1 species
CAGCCGCCACGGGAAUACGGAGGAUCCAAGCGUUAUCCGGAUUUAUUGGGUUUAAAGGGUGCGUAGGUGGCCUGUUAAGUCAGGGGUGAAAGACGGUAGCUUAACUAUCGCAGUGCCCUUGAUACUGAUGGGCUUGAACGAACUAGAGGUAGGCGGAAUGUGACAAGUAGCGGUGAAAUGCAUAGAUAUGUCACAGAACACCGAUUGCGAAGGCAGCUUACUAUGGUUUUAUUGACACUGAAGCACGAAAGCUAGGGGAGCAAACAGGAUUAGAUACCCCCGUAGUCCCUGUCUCUUAUAU